rnacentral:rRNA from 1 species
GACGAACGCUGGCGGCGUGCCUAAUACAUGCAAGUAGAACGCUGAAGGAGGAGCUUGCUCUUCUGGAUGAGUUGCGAACGGGUGAGUAACGCGUAGGUAACCUGCCUGGUAGCGGGGGAUAACUAUUGGAAACGAUAGCUAAUACCGCAUAAGAGUAGAUGUCGCAUGACAUUUGCUUAAAAGGUGCAAUUGCAUCACUACCAGAUGGACCUGCGUUGUAUUAGCUAGUUGGUGAGGUAACGGCUCACCAAGGCAACGAUACAUAGCCGACCUGAGAGGGUGAUCGGCCACACUGGGACUGAGACACGGCCCAGACUCCUACGGGAGGCAGCAGUAGGGAAUCUUCGGCAAUGGACGGAAGUCUGACCGAGCAACGCCGCGUGAGUGAAGAAGGUUUUCGGAUCGUAAAGCUCUGUUGUAAGAGAAGAACGAGUGUGAGAGUGGAAAGUUCACA